AUGUACCCCAGUGGAGCAUGGCUUACUCAAGCAAGAACCAUCAGUUGCACGCUGCAGGUCAUGGCCAUAAAAGAGUGGCUCCCUGUCGCAAGGCAAGGACCUGCAUUCUCUGGCUGCGCUGCUGCCUGGACCCCUGCUCCGCUAACAGAAAGCAUGUAUGGACAGGACAGGGCUAGGCUGGCAUCUCAGCAGCACAUCCUCUUGGCUGGUGGCAAUUCAGCAUGCCUUGCUGAAGACAGAUGUUUCAAUGCAGGUAGGUCUGACACGACAUUUCUCAUCACUGGUUUUACCAUCAGUGAGCAAGGGAGACGUAUGACAGUUCUGCCUGGGUUUGGGCAAAGAUGCCCUCAGGACAACCCAAGGUGCAGACGUCACCUGAUUUUCUCCAGAUAAAUGCCAGCCUUAGAGGAGCUGUGGCACACACCUCUGCUAUGAAUAACAGCUCUGCACUUGCAGUUUCUGAAUCUCUUAAAAAAUUCAUUCAACAUGCCCAGAGGUUUUGCAUUUAUGGUUUUUUUUUAAUAUAUAUAUACACAUAUACUUCUCCUGGAACAACUGCAGAGUUAAUUUGCUUGGAGAUGUGCUGUACGUUGGCAGUAACAUUUUUUUUUUGUUUGUUUACAAGCCUCUGAACUAGGAAACCUAACGCUGACAGUACUGAGUUAGACCCAUGAAUCCACUUCUCAAGAUUUACUUUACAUCGCUGGCAAAGAAGUAAGUGUUUUUUCAACAACUUUCCUUCCACCUGUUUGUCAGCUCUGUUCCUUGCACCGAUCCGUCUAAACUGUGUACACUGCUGAAACUGUCCUUCCUGGGCUGAAACAGUCCUAGGGUUUGCUGGGCACAUGGUUUAAUGGUAGAGGAUGGUAUUUAUAAGAUCUCUGAAUGACUCUUCAGCCAAGCAGGUAAUGGGCAAUUCCUCAUAGCCUAGAUCUUUCCAGCUCCCAUGGAUACCCUUGGGGUAGAUUUUGCCCUUCUUAGGUUAUUUACAGUGUCGUUCCCUGCCAAGGACACUUCAAGUUAUAGUCACUUCCUCCAGUGGUCAUGUCACCUGAUGUGUAUUUAUUCAUCACUACCUGAGUAGUUUCCAUCCGCUGCUAUGCUGUGAAGUGCUCUGAGGACAUGGCAGUGUCUGCAGUUCACAAAGCCAUACGUGCAGGGGUGCUCUCAUCACGUGCAGGUCUGGAAGGAAGAAAACACGAAAAGACCAGUUACAACAAAAAGGUUAAGCUGUUAUGUCUGUGGUCCAAAAGAGUGGUGAGCUGAGCUCAUUUCACCAAGUCUCUUGCUAAUCUGGUGCUCUCAAGGGUGUGAAAUAUUAUCAGCUGUUAGAGUUAUUAACCAGUGUUAACCAGGUAGUGCAUGCACUGAGCUGUGUUUAAGGUUAACUGUGCCAUUAAGGGCUUACAAACUCAAUUAAAGAUUUUAGUGCUCAACAGUUAAUGGUUAAUUUCUGCAGAUGUCCUGUUUCCAAUUACUAUUCAUAUAUAAUGCAAGCAGCAUGGCAUCACACUUCAGCUCAGACACGCAGAUUUUUUUUUUAAUAUAUUUUAUACCAGCAGAAGGUUUCACUUAAUUGCAUAAUACCCGAUAUUUAGUAUUUCUGGAGUGUCUUUGAAAUCUCUGUUAAAUUCCAAGUAUUUUCACCUUUCUUUUUCUAUUAUUAUCACCAGUCCCUGCCUCACUUUUGCUCAUCUGACCCCGUGAGGGUAUGGAGGUGUUCUUUGCAUUGUGCCAUGACCCCGCUGCCCGGCGGGGAGAAAGGCACGCUGAGAAAUGGCCCUCCUGGACUGGGCAGCCACAGGGAGAGACCCAGAGAUUUUCUUUUUUCUCUUUCAUUGGAAAUGACUCGGGAAGCUCACAGUCCCCAAAGUAUAUUGAGGAGCUCAAAUGGAGAUUUAAAAGCCUACAUCUGAGCCCGCUGAGUUUGGAAAUUUUUAAGUAACAAAAACCUUCUUGUGAGACCAACUCUGAUAAGGGAGCGUUUGACUAAAUCUGCAGAUGGAGUUAACUGGAAAGUUCUGAGUCCUGAAGUUACACCCAGGUGGAAGGAAACCUGCUACUGUCAGUAAAAAGAAAGAGUGUAUAAAUCAGCUCUCAACUAAUGAGACAAAUAAAUUCAUAACUGGAAUCACCCAUUAGGAAAAAAUCAAUUCCUUUCUAUACACGCAAUUGUGAUAUUCCUCCUGAGAAAUACUCUCAGUUCAACGAAGAACAUGAACGUAUACCUAACUCUGCACAUGGGAGUAAAUCUAUGCUUAUCAUUAAAUUUAAGUUAAGAAUAUAAUGAAAUUGAAAUUAAAUAUGAAAUGCCUUGGGAAUUACUCAUGAACUUGAAAUUCAGUCAUUUAAAAGCGAUGUUGAACUGGGGCCUCUGGGACGAAAGGACCCAGGGAGAUGCACACCACGCUAUGCUUACAAAACCCUGUGAGAUGGUUUUACAAGCACUUUCAGCCAUCUGAUGAUUGCACUGUUAUUAAAACGGCAUGUCCUGCCUCUUUCCCCUGCCAUGCUUCUCCAGUACAGCAACCAGCCACGUGGUUUGGCCAACUGCAUCAGCAAACUGAUCUGGAUAAAAAACAACCCUACAAAAAACCCAGUCAUUUUCAGAUGGGUGUGUUCUCUGAUUCAUCUAACUGUGUGGCCACAUGACUGCAGGUGCUGGUCCGCAAGACAGAGGGGUAAGGGGAUGGGGUGAUCCCACCUCUUCUGGUGGCUGCUGCAGAGUUUUCAGCCGGUCAAGCUGACAAGGAAAUUUCAUGGCUAUAAAGUUUGUGUCAUUUUAGAAGUCUUUGAAGUCACUUUGGAUCUGUUCCAUUGCAUGUGAAAUUGUGGCUCUUUGAGUCAUUCUUUCAGGUAGAGGAAGUUUUUGGAGGAUAUAUAAGGAGGUAUUGUUCUUGGAGAGUCACAGAGGUGCAGCAUCAGUGCCUCCUAUGGCUAUACAGGCUAUAGUUAGUCUCUUCAGAAAAAGUGUGAGCCACUCAACGGUAGAGAUCUACAUUUUCCUAAAAGAAACAGCAACACAAGUCAUUCACCUCAGUGGCGUUAAGUGUGCUUGGCCAUUGCAAACUGGGAAAGACCUGAACAAGAGAUUAACAGAAGAGAGAUACAACUUCAGCUAUUAAAUACAAAAGAGGCAAAGCUAAGUUCAUAUGUUGGCAUAUCUAAAAAUUACCACGGAUAGAGAUAACAGAUGGUUGCAGCUUAGAAUUCAUGUAGAAGUCUCUGAAGUUUUGGGGUGAAAUCCACCCUUCUCAGGUGUGCAGAGGUUCUACAGCGUGGCUAGAGCUACUAUGGGCAGAAGUGUCCACUCUGCUGGUUGUCCAGAAGCUGUGGAAGAAACUCCAGCAAGAUGUAGGACCCAUGCUAAUGCUCAGUGCUUCUUGCCUCAAAUGUUAGGGGCGCUUUUUAACCUUCUCAUCUCCCACAGAAAUACAGGCUAUUGGGCACCUCUAAAUUUUCCCCAUCAAGUCCCCAAAGGGGAGAGACCAGCUCACACAAGCUUGUACAUGGAAAGCAGGUGAGAGAAAAGGAAUGAAGCAUGUAUGACAGAUAUUCAUCACAUCCUUCAAGGCAUCACUGAAUGAGGUCCACAACAGGCAAUGUGAGUAUGAGCAGUGUUGAACAGAUCAAAAAAAGUAGCAUUUAUCCAUCAAAAGACAAAGUGUGGCUGGCUUUUUCCUUCAUUUAAGCUAGUGAAAAUGAAGAAACAGACAAUCCUGCUUAAGGACCUGUUUCCACUUAGUGCUGAGCACCUCACCGAAGACAUCUAUUUUUAUCAGGCAUUUAUUUUACAAUAUCAGUGGCACCUCUAACCAAGACCAGGCCACCAGAGCAGAGAAUAUCCUCAGCUCCCUACAAAGAGAUGAAAUCAACUGACAAGUUGAAAGGGUUUCUCAGACCUCAUAGGACUUUUCUUUUUUUUUUUCUUUUCCUCUCAGUGGAAACUCAGAAAAGCAUUCGAGUGGAUGGUAAAGUGUCUCACAAAUAUCUUGUAUAAUUUGGCAACCACCAUGUUCCACAUCUAAUUUCAUUACAGCACAUUGAAUGUUUUGGAGGUUUUUUACAAUGGUUUUUGCACCUUUAACAACAUGUUGAUUAUUGCGUUUUGAAAUAACUCACUUCUUUAAGAAUAACUUAAGUGAAAAUUUCAUUUAGAAUUGCAACACCUGGAGAAAAUCAACAUCAUGUGACUUGUAGGCACUUCUAAACAGGAAAUACUCCAUUUAUUUUUUUAGCUGUGUUUGUGUAAUAAAGUCUAGCAUCCAAGUGUGAGCAACACAUUUUCUUGUUUUAUUAAACAGCAUGAAAGGAUUUAUUACUUCUCCACUGAAUGCACUUCUGGCACCAAAUGGAGCUGGACAAUAAUUGUCAGGCACUGAGUUUAACAUUAUGAGAAAACACCUUUGGUGGAGUUCAGAGUUUAUUGUAUAAUGAAAAAUACACCUAGAUGGUGAGGCUUCCUUUGAGAAUUUGCUUGGUGAGUGUAAUCUCAGGUACUGCUGCUUAAUAAAUUGGAUUCUUUGAAAUAGAAAUUAAAGUACUGAAACAGUAUCUAAGAAGGUUAUUUUUCUUUUCCUCCUUCAGUUAUGUGAAGUUCCUUGAGAAGGAAAAUAAAAAUAGAGGGAAUGGAG
ensembl:lncRNA